GCCUAACUCGAGCCGCUACACUGUAGCAAGCAUCAUAAGGACAUUUUGAAAUGAGAGUCGAAUUGCUAGACGACCAGAUGCUGGGAGCAGAGGAAGCAUGUUCACUGCAGACCAAGAAACCCAUAUAGUCAAUAUGGCGAUUGCAAAUAAUUCUAUACUUGGAAAUAAACACUUGUGUUUGUUUUGAUGUGUGUGAAUAAACACCAGUACUUGAAGUUUG